ensembl:misc_RNA Metazoa_SRP Metazoan signal recognition particle RNA
GCCAGGUGCCGUGGUGUGUGCCUGUAGUCCCAGCUACUCGAGAGGCUGAGGCUGGAGGAUCUCUUCAGUCCAGGAGUUCUGGACUGGAGUGUGCUAUGCUGAUCAGGUGCCAGCACUAAAUUCGGCAUCAAUAUGGUGACCUCCCGGGAGAAGGGGACCACCAGGUUGCCUAAGGAGGGGUGAACUGGCCCGGGUCAGAAACGGAGCAGGUCAAAAUUCCCGUGCUGAUCAGUAGUGGGAUCGCGCCUGUGAAUAGCCACUGCACUCCAGCCUGGGCAACAUAGCGAGACCCUGUCUCUA